rnacentral:lncRNA from 1 species
UGGAAUGUGUUCACCCCCACAUUUGAUGUCAUAGGAAAUACCUUGAUCUGGUUGACAUGAUAUCCAUAGAUUUAGAUAUCGAUAGUAGUAGUGAUAUUUUGAAAAUAGAUUUUGAUAUUGGUGGCAGUACGGAACUGAUGGGGAUUACGAAUGACAACUCGUUACUCUUCUACACGGAGCUAAAAAAGAAGGAACCAAGGUUAACGGCAUAUGCAAUACAUGUUGUUGCCCACAUGCCGAGGACGGCUUCUUGUGAAUCCAAAAGAUAUAGCUAUGAUAUACUCAACAGCAUGUAAUGGAUUUGAGGUUGCAGCACCCAAUCAGGUUUUGAUGCUGAAAUCUGCUAAGGUUCCAACAAUGCAAGAUUCUACAGGCAACAUAGAAGUGAGGAUGAAAAUGAAGAAAGCUCCGAUGUUUUGUAACAAACAAGAGUAGAAUUCGUCACUGAAAAGUAGAUUUUCGUGAUAAAAAGUUGUUGAAGGACAGCCUUGGGUUGUAUUCUAUACAAAACAACUUCGAGUGCAUUUUUUACAAGUUCGAUGACUUCAAGUAAGUGCUAAAGUGUAAUAGAAAUGAACCAAGAUUAAU